CACGGGGGGAGCAAGCGUUGUUCGGAAUCACUGGGCGUAAAGGGUGUCUAGGCGGUCAGGUAAGUGAGAUGUGAAAUGCCCCGGCUUACCCGGGGACCGGCAUCUCAUACUGUCUGGCUUGAGUAUGGGAGAGGAUGAGGGAAUUCCUGGUGUAGCGGUGAAAUGCGUAGAUAUCAGGAGGAACACUGGUGGCGAAAGCGCUCAUCUGGCCCAAUACUGACGCUGAAGCACGAAAGCUAGGGGAGCAAACGGG
rnacentral:rRNA from 1 species